rnacentral:lncRNA from 10 species
GGCCCUGGGACCCUUCUAUCCACAUAGCAGGAGAAAAGUCAGCUAUGCCAAGAAAAGGCUGGUUGGGUAUCCGAGAUCACAUGCCAAGUUUUGCAGGCUGUACAAGAAGCAUGAAGCCAGUAUCCUUCACUCAUGGCAGAAGGAGAAAGGGAGCCAGCAUUUCACAUGGCAAGAGAAGAGGACAGAGAAGGGGAGAGGAAGGAAGCACCAGGUUCUUUUAAACAACUCAUGUGAACUAAUAGAGUGGGAAUCCACUCAUUACCAUGAAAAGGGCAACAAGCCAUUCAUAAGGGAUCUGCUCCCAUGACCCAAACAUCUCCUAUUAGGCCCUGCCUCAAACACUGGGGAUCAAAUUUUGAUGUGAGGUUUGGAGGAGACAAAUAUCCAAACCACAUCAUCAAGACAGCAUCAUUUCCAACCUGGAUGCAUCCACAGGCUUCUGGCUAGUCUUCCACCUCCCUCUCAAUCCCACUAUCCCCUCUCCAAUCCAUUCUCCACCUAGAUUAAUCUGAUAAUGCUACCUCCCAAUAACACAAUCUCCAAUGCCUUCCCCUACCAAAUCUAGUAAAACCCAAAGACUUCACUUCAGCCCUUUGUGGCAUAGCCCUUCUGCAACUUCCAAUAUCACCUCCUAUAUUCAUUUUCAAUCCUGCAUAACAAAUUAACAGAAAAUUUACAGCUUAAAACAAGAAAACGUAUUAUCUCACAUGAUCUGUAGAUCAGGAAUCUGGUCACAGCUUAGAUGGGUCCUCUGUUUAGGAUCUCACAAGGCUUCAGUCAAGGUGUCAUCCAAGUUAGGUUUUCAUCUGAAGGCUCAUCUGUGAAAGAAUCUGCUUCCAAGUUCACCCAGGUUGUUGUCAGAAUUUAUUUCAUUGGAAUUG